GACGAACGCUGGCGGCGUGCCUAAUACAUGCAAGUCGAGCGAAGUUUUUCUGGUGCUUGCACUAGAAAAACUUAGCGGCGAACGGGUGAGUAACACGUAAAGAACCUGCCUCAUAGACUGGGACAACUAUUGGAAACGAUAGCUAAUACCGGAUAACAGUAUUUCUCGCAUGAGAGAUAUUUAAAAGUUGGUUAUGCUAACACUAUGAGAUGGCUUUGCGGUGCAUUAGCUAGUUGGUGGGGUAAAGGCCCACCAAGGCGACGAUGCAUAGCCGACCUGAGAGGGUGAUCGGCCACACUGGGACUGAGACACGGCCCAGACUCCUACGGGAGGCAGCAGUAGGGAAUCGUCCGCAAUGGGCGAAAGCCUGACGGAGCAACGCCGCGUGAGUGAAGAAGGAUUUCGGUUCGUAAAGCUCUGUUGUUAGGGAAGAAUGGAUAUGUAGUAACUAUACAUGUAAGAGACGGUACCUAACCAGAAAGCCACGGCUAACUACGUG
rnacentral:rRNA from 1 species